rnacentral:rRNA from 1 species
GACAGAGGGUGCGAACGUUGUUCGGAAUUACUGGGCGUAAAGCGCAUGUAGGCUGUCUUGCAAGUCGGGUGUGAAAGCCCAGGGCUCAACCCUGGAAGUGCACUCGAAACUGCAAGACUAGAAUCUCGGAGAGGGUAGCGGAAUUCUGGGUGUAGAGGUGAAAUUCGUAGAUAUCCAGAGGAGCACCGGUGGCGAAGGCGGCUACCUGGACGAGUAUUGACGCUGAGAUGAGAAAGCGUGGGGAGCAAACAGG